AAGCACCAUGGACUGCCCUUUGCUCCAAGUAAUUUUUGGUGAUUUUUUAGCGAUUUUUUGGCGGAGUCCUAAUGGCGCUAUACUCUCGGACAGGUUGUCCCGUCCCUCCCGCUAGAUUGAUGAGAUCAGGCAUC
rfam:Oryctolagus cuniculus unplaced genomic scaffold chrTn0007, whole genome shotgun sequence.